rnacentral:rRNA from 1 species
AUUGAACGCUGGCGGCAGGCCUAACACAUGCAAGUCGAGCGAGCGGCGGACGGGUGAGUAAUGUCUGGGAAACUGACUGAUGGAGGGGGAUAACUACUGGAAACGGUAGCUAAUAACGCAAACCAUCAGAAGUGCCCAGAGGGGAUUGGCUAGUAGGUGGGGUAACGGCCCACCGAAGCGAAGAUCCCUCUCUGGUCUGAGAGGAUGACCAGCCACACUGGAACUGAGACACGGUCCAGACUCCUACGGUAGGCAGCAGUGGGGAAUAUUGCACAAUGGGCGCAAGCCUGAUGCAGCCAUGCCGCGUGUGUGAAGAAGGCCUUCGGGUUGUAAAGCACUUUCAGCGGGGAGGCGUUACCCGCAGAAGAAGCACCGGCUAACUCCGUGCCAGCAGCCGCGGUAAUUC